rnacentral:rRNA from 1 species
UCAACGGAGAGUUUGAUCCUGGCUCAGGACGAACGCUGGCGGCGUGCUUAACACAUGCAAGUCGAACGGUUAAAGCACCUUCGGGUGUGUAUAAAGUGGCGAACGGGUGAGUAACACGUGAGCAACCUACCCCUGACUCUGGGAUAACAGUUGGAAACAGCUGCUAAUACCGGAUACGAGCUAUGAAGGCAUCUUCGUAGCUGGAAAGCCCCGACGGUCAGGGAUGGGCUCGCGGCCUAUCAGCUUGUUGGUGAGGUAACGGCUCACCAAGGCGACGACGGGUAGCCGGCCUGAGAGGGCGACCGGCCACACUGGGACUGAGAUACGGCCCAGACUCCUACGGGAGGCAGCAGUGGGGAAUAUUG